rnacentral:rRNA from 1 species
UGGGGAAUAUUGCACAAUGGGCGCAAGCCUGAUGCAGCCAUGCCGCGUGUAUGAAGAAGGCCUUCGGGUUGUAAAGUACUUUCAGCGGGGAGGAAGGGAGUAAAGUUAAUACCUUUGCUCAUUGACGUUACCCGCAGAAGAAGCACCGGCUAACUCCGUGCCAGCAGCCGCGGUAAUACGGAGGGUGCAAGCGUUAAUCGGAAUUACUGGGCGUAAAGCGCACGCAGGCGGUUUGUUAAGUCAGAUGUGAAAUCCCCGGGCUCAACCUGGGAACUGCAUCUGAAACUGGCAGGCUUGAGUCUCGUAGAGGGGGGUAGAAUUCCAUGUGUAGCGGUGAAAUGCGUAGAGAUGUGGAGGAAUACCGGUAGCGAAGGCGGCCCCCUGGACAAAGACUGACGCUCAGGUGCGAAAGCGUGGGGAGCAAACAGG